GCUUCUUAAAGUAGCAUCUGGAGAAGGCUGCCAAGUUUAUGUCCCUCCAAAAUUCAUGUUUUGAAAUGCUUACCCACAAUGUGAUGGGAUUAAGAGGUGAUUAGGUUAUAAAGGUGGAGCCCUCAAGAAUGGGAUUAGUGCCCUUAAAAAAGGGAGACCCAAAGAGUGCUCAUCCUUUCCCUACUAUAAGGAUACAAUAAGAAGUAACCUGGAAGAUGGCCCUCACCGGAGCCCGACUGUGGUGUCAUCCUGAUAUCACAAUUCCAGCCUCCGGUCCUGUGAGAAAUGAAUGUCUGUGGUUCAUAAGCCACCAGUCUGUGGUUCCUUGUUUUAGGAGCCUGAGUGAGGAAGACUGUGUCCUUUGUGCUGUGGGUUGUGGAGCUGGAUUGUUUCAGGGCUUUUCCUCAACUAUCUGGCCUGGACAAACACUGAACUGCAUUUCUUGGACUCCUGCCCAUCUGGAGUGGGGACGCAUCCUGCUGCAUUGGCAAGACAUCAACCAGAGUCCACAGGAGAAUGCACAAAAAGAAUGGCCUCUUAUCCGAGUCUGGAGAAAAGUCACACAGGAUUUGAGGUCCACUGCACACCACAGAGAAAAGGCCAUCCAGGCAGGACAAGAGCCUUCCCUGCCCU
rnacentral:lncRNA from 1 species